rnacentral:rRNA from 1 species
UACGUAGGGUGCAAGCGUUAAUCGGAAUUACUGGGCGUAAAGCGUGCGCAGGCGGUGAUGUAAGACAGAUGUGAAAUCCCCGGGCUCAACCCGGGAACUGCGUCCGAUACUGGAAGGCUUGAAUCCGGGAGAGGGAUGUGGAAUUCCAGGUGUAGCGGUGAAAUGCGUAGAUAUCUGGAGGAACACCGGUGGCGAAGGCGACAUCCUGGACCGGUAUUGACGCUGAGGCGCGAAAGCCAGGGGAGCAAACGGG